rnacentral:rRNA from 1 species
AGAGUUUGAUCAUGGCUCAGGAUGAACGCUGGCGGCGUGCCUAACACAUGCAAGUCGAACGGGUGUGGUAUCAGGGAAAAGGGGUUUACUUCUUUGACCAGAUAACACACUAGUGGCGGACGGGUGAGUAACGCGUGGAUAACCUGCCUUAUACAGGGGGAUAACAGGGAGAAAUUCUUGCUAAUACCCCAUAGGUAUGUCUGACGCAUGUUGGACAUAUUAAAGCUUUGGCGGUAUAAGAUGGGUCCGCGUCUGAUUAGCUAGUUGGUGGGGUAAAGGCCCACCAAGGCGACGAUCAGUAGCCGGCUUGAGAGAGUGGACGGCCACAUUGGGACUGAGACACGGCCCAAACUCCUACGGGAGGCAGCAGUGGGGAAUAUUGCACAAUGGGGGAAACCCUGAUGCAGCGACGCCGCGUGAAGGAAGAAGGUCUUCGGAUCGUAAACUUCUAUCAGCAGGGAAGAAGGAAGUGACAGUACCUGAGUAAGAAGCCCCGGCUAACUACGUGCCAGCAGCCGCGGUAAUACGUAGGGGGCGAGCGUUAUCCGGAAUUACUGGGUGUAAAGGGUGCGUAGGCGGUAUGGCAAGUCAGUUGUGAAACCCCCUGGCUCAACCAGGGGCUUGCAAUUGAAACUGUCAUACUAGAGUGCAGGAGAGGAAAGCGGAAUUCCUAGUGUAGCGGUGAAAUGCGUAGAUAUUAGGAAGAACACCAGUGGCGAAGGCGGCUUUCUGGACUGUAACAGACGCUGAGGCACGAAAGCGUGGGGAGCGAACAGGAUUAGAUACCCUGGUAGUCCACGCCGUAAACGAUGAGUGCUAGGUGUUGGGGUCUAAUUAGAUCUCGGUGCUGAAGUUUACGCAUUAAGCACUCCACCUGGGGAGUACGAUCGCAAGAUUGAAACUCAAAUGAAUUGACGG